ensembl:snRNA U6 U6 spliceosomal RNA
GUGCUCGCUUCUGCAGCACAUGUACUAAAAUUGGAGUGAUACAGAGAAGAUUAGUAUAGACCUGCACAAGAUGACAGGCAAAUUCGUGAAGCAUUCCAUGUUUUA